rnacentral:rRNA from 1 species
AGUGAACGCUGGCGGUAGGCCUAACACAUGCAAGUCGAACGGCAGCACAGUAAGAGCUUGCUCUUACGGGUGGCGAGUGGCGGACGGGUGAGGAAUACAUCGGAAUCUACUUUUUCGUGGGGGAUAACGUAGGGAAACUUACGCUAAUACCGCAUACGACCUACGGGUGAAAGCAGGGGAUCUUCGGACCUUGCGCGAUUGAAUGAGCCGAUGUCGGAUUAGCUAGUUGGCGGGGUAAAGGCCCACCAAGGCGACGAUCCGUAGCUGGUCUGAGAGGAUGAUCAGCCACACUGGAACUGAGACACGGUCCAGACUCCUACGGGAGGCAGCAGUGGGGAAUAUUGGACAAAGGGCGCAAGCCUGAUCCAGCCAUACCGCGUGGGUGAAGAAGGCCUUCGGGUUGUAAAGCCCUUUUGUUGGGAAAGAAAAGCAGCAGGUUAAUACCCCGCAGUUCUGACGGUACCCAAAGAAUAAGCACCGGCUAACUUCGUG